UGCAAGAUUCGUUCAUUUCAACCUCUUUAAAAAUCCUCAGAUAUCGACCAAACCAAACAUCUGAACAUCUCAUACGAUGCCGGCGAUUCUUAAAGCUCAGGAACACGUCAUGAUUACGAGUUAUUUUUCUCGAGACAUGUCGUGUUCUUGAGAUUUAGAAACGCCGUCACUUGUAACCGAUCUCUGCUCUACCUAAAAACACUCGCUAUUUGUUUGCCACAACACUCGUCUACGUUUAGUGACUUGAAUGCGUUGAAACAGUGGAUAGUUUGUUGUCACUGUGUUUAUGAAAGGUGAGGAUGGAAUUGUUAAAGAAAUGUUAGAUUCAGUUGUAUAACUUCAGAAUAAAAUAUUGUUACAUUUGGAAUUGAAUUGGUGAAUAUUGGUUAGAUGAAAAAGAUCAGUUUAAAAGGCAAUUAAAGGAGUUUUUGGCCGAAAUAGGGGGUCCCCUAAGGAGUGCUAUUUUAGGUGUAUUACAAAUUUAUGAGUAAAAUUCUGCAAAAGGCUGCAACCAACAUAUGACACAUUCCUGCACAACAUACAGAAGAUCGCUGAACUGGAUCACGAGCUAUAGAAGUCCGCGAAUUUGCAGAGAAGAAAAAGUGAACAAGAAACAGGUAUUUUUAUUCAAUAACUCAUGCCUUAAAUAGCUUAGUGGUUAUGGAAAUGAGGGAAGACUUUUGACUGAAAGGUCUCAAGUUCGAUUCCUGAUCCACCCGGGUUUUACCGGCUCUGCAUUGUCGUGCCCUCGGGCGGGUGCAGGGUCGGGUUUUCCCCGGAACUGGUGGCAUGGUGGGCUAGGGGCUCCGUGCGUGCAGGUUGGGCUGCCGCGGGCUACCUUUCGGCCAAUGGGUGCCGCGUACGGAGUACCCGGCGAUUCUUAUGUUGGACGUUCAAAAAAAAAGGUAAUCACAUGGAACACUCCCUAUUACCCGGACAAAACACUCACCUUUAAAACAAAACUCUAAACAAACUACUCUACGAAAACUUGCAUGACCAAGUUUAGAUAGAUUUAUUCAACCACACUUGACUCAACAAACUAAUAAACACAUGACUAAAAUUAACGCUUAUUGACUUGACCCAUAAAGACACCUGCUGACCCGUUUCAUGACCCGUACCCGUCGACCCGUCAAGAUUAUCUAACAGGGGGCGGGCUUUUUGCGAACUUCUUUAAGUUAUUGGUUCCGUUCAGCGGACUUGUUUAACUUAUUUGUAUCUACAGCGGACUUCAUUAUAACUUGCAGAUCAAAUCAGCUAACUUCAAAUGUUGGUGAAUUGAUUCAGCGGACUUCAGACCUUUUGCAGGGAGUUGUAAGAAGCCUGCAGCUUUUGGUAGAACUUGUGUAGAAGUUGCUGUUUCGAAGAACAAACUACCUAAUAUCACUCAUAACUUUCAAAACCACCUAAUGGCACUCUUUUGUGGUUCAAACCCCCUAUUUCUGCAAAAAAAAUCCAAUUAAAAGAGGGGGAGAAGAGAGAUGUGUUUUUAGGCCUGUUUUAAUGUUUAAGUCUUGAGGACAGCUUAAGCAGCAACUUCAUAUUGUACUGAUGAAUCAGUUGAUAAUGUAUUGUGCUAAUGAAUCUAGGGACGAGCUCGGUAUUGUAUCGGUAAAGAACCGAAUGCAUCGAUUCUUAAAAAAACGUAAAAAAGUGGGUACCGGUACAGAAAGUGGACUGUAUGGUAUAGUGACAUUAUUCGAUGGCAAACCAACCCAGAAAACCGAAAGCACUGAUUCUAAAAGAUGCUAAAAGUGGGUAUUGAAAUGGACCAAAAAUGGCUUGGUAUUGGUACGUUACCGGUAACUGGUACUAAAUGUUCAUUUCAACUUCAUAAUCACCUUUUAAGACCUUGAAAGUGACAUGGUGUGAUAGUAAGACCGGAUAUUGUGGCUUAACGCCACCGUUCACGACGGCUGGUAACGCCUCAGAGUACUGCCCCUUAGCGUAAGGGUGCCCAAUUAGAUUGGCAGGGUCUAGGGCCCCGUUUGAUGGUCAGUUUUAUUGUUCAUAGUAUUAAAUUGAUUACUUAACCCCUAAAAAGUUGAUAACCAUUAGUAGAUAUAGGUUAUCGAACACUAUAGACAAGUGUUAAUUUGGUAAUCACCUUCAAAAUGCAGAUACAAGUACCAUUUAACAGCCAUGUUUUGGCAAGCAAGUUUGCUUGCAUAUGUUUUUGUCAGGUCGAAAUUAGCAUCUCAUUGCUUGCGAACUGAUUCCUAUUGAACAAAUGCAACUAUGCGAAUGGAGAUAACGAUCACGUGCAUCACUGGUACAUGUAAUGCAAUGCAAUUAUGACGUGCAUCGCUGGUACAGGUAUCAGCCGGCUUCUUACAGCCAUUUAUGAGGCUUGAAACCUAAAUUCGACAAGGUCUGGUUGUUUACGGCACUUUGUGAGAAUUGCAACUCAAAUUCGACAAGGUGUUGUGUUUUUCAGCUAAAUAUUUCUCUUUUGUUUGAUUGACUGCAAUUUUGUUAGGGUCUUGUGUGUGGAUUAUAGUCAAUAAAUAGGAAUUGGUAUGGUUAAUGAUUGUAAUUUUCGUCAACAUAUUGAAUAAUGGCGUAUAAUAAAUCAAUUAGUUGCUAUGUUCGGAACUACCUACA